UAUUCACCUUUUCAAGCACUUUAAAAUGGACCUAAGUUAGGUUUACUGGGGUUCAUUGGUGAUAGCCAUGUGAGCUAAUAACACCUUUUUUUUAAUUAA